rfam:Aureobasidium pullulans var. melanogenum CBS 110374 unplaced genomic scaffold scaffold_1, whole genome shotgun sequence.
GGUCGGUUAGCUCAGUUGGUUAGAGCGUGGUGCUAAUAUCCGGUGGAUAUCCACCCAUGAUAAUGGCACGCCAAGGUCGCGGGUUCGACCCCCGUACUGACCA